rnacentral:lncRNA from 1 species
CCAUAGCCAUGCAUUAUUCAUCCUAUCCUAUUUACUGUUGCGAUAUUUUUCCGGUGUAAUCUUCGAUUGCACCCUGAUUUGGUAUUCUGACAUGUUUCUUUUUGAGCUUCGAAAAGGUUCACAUAUCCCAGGAAAAGGUUAUUGGCUAGGUAUUCCACUUUAUUUGUGGGAUACCCUUGUGGAGUUUUCACCCUAAAUUACCUAAUUAAUUUUGAUGUAUUAAUUUUA